rnacentral:rRNA from 1 species
UACGGGGGGGGCAAGCGUUGUUCGGAAUUACUGGGCGUAAAGGGCUCGUAGGCGGCCAACUAAGUCAGACGUGAAAUCCCUCGGCUCAACCGGGGAACUGCGUCUGAUACUGGAUGGCUUGAAUCCGGGAGAGGGAUGCGGAAUUCCAGGUGUAGCGGUGAAAUGCGUAGAUAUCUGGAGGAACACCGGUGGCGAAGGCGGCAUCCUGGACCGGCAUUGACGCUGAGGAGCGAAAGCCAGGGGAGCAAACGGGAUUAGAUACCCCCGUAGUCC